ACAUCUUCAGCUGUAAUUUGUUCAACUUUAGUUAGAACUUACCCCUCAUCCUGAAUGAAUCCAAAGGGAUGGACACUGUCUAGAUCCUCUGUUGGUGUGAUGGCUGCAGUAGUUUUUUCCAUUGGGGUGACUGUAGCGGUGUGGGAUAUUGAGCGCAGUAACACAACGAUGGCAUCAUCUUCAGUGCAGUCGCCAAGCAGAGAGCUUACCGAUAUUGUCCACCAAGUGAACACUGUUGCACAGUACAAGAUCCUGUCAGCGUGUGUUAUCACCC